rnacentral:rRNA from 1 species
UACGUAGGGGGCUAGCGUUGUCCGGAAUCAUUGGGCGUAAAGCGCGUGUAGGCGGCCCGGUAAGUCCGCUGUGAAAGUCGGGGGCUCAACCCUGGGAUGCCGGUGGAUACUGUCGGGCUCGAGUCCGGAAGAGGAGUGUGGAAUUCCUGGUGUAGCGGUGAAAUGCGCAGAUAUCAGGAGGAACACCAAUGGCGAAGGCAGCACUCUGGGACGUGACUGACGCUGAGACGCGAAAGCGUGGGGAGCAAACAGG